rnacentral:rRNA from 1 species
GAUGAACGCUAGCGGCAGGCCUAAUACAUGCAAGUCGAACGAUACUUUCCAGCUUGCUGGAGAGGAAAGUGGCGCACGGGUGCGUAACGCGUAUGCAACCUACCUUAAUCAGGGGGAUAGCCCGAAGAAAUUCGGAUUAACACCGCAUAAAAUCACAGUAUAGCAUUAUACAAUGAUCAAAUAUUUAUAGGAUUAAGAUGGGCAUGCGUGACAUUAGUUAGUUGGCGGGGUAACGGCCCACCAAGACCACGAUGUCUAGGGGAUCUGAGAGGGUGACCCCCCACACUGGUACUGCGACACGGACCAGACUCCUACGGGAGGCAGCAGUAAGGAAUAUUGGUCAAUGGAGGCAACUUUGAACCAGCCAUGCCGCGUGCAGGAAGACAGCCCUCUGGGUCGUAAACUGCUUUUAUUCGGGAAUAAACCUAUCUACGUGUAGAUAGCUGAAUGUACCGAAGGAAUAAGGAUCGGCUAACUCCGUGCCAGCCGCCGCGGUAA